UCUGAGAACAGAGACUGUAUUGU
rnacentral:piRNA from 1 species